CUUUGUGCAGUAGUCUAGAAUUUUUCAUUGUUUGGUUACAGAUGCUAUACAAAUUUUUAGUUUGUACGUGGAAAAUUAGGAUGCGAUAUUCAGUUUGACAUAGAUUUAGAGCAUGCUUUCAAUGUUAUGGACAUGGAGAAAGACAGACAAUCUUUUAAUCAUUUUAAUAU